GACGAACGCUGGCGGCGUGCUUAACACAUGCAAGUCGAACGGAAAGGCCCUGCUUUUGUGGGGUGCUCGAGUGGCGAACGGGUGAGUAACACGUGAGUAACCUGCCCUUGACUUUGGGAUAACUUCAGGAAACUGGGGCUAAUACCGGAUAGGAGCUCCUGCUGCAUGGUGGGGGUUGGAAAGUUUCGGCGGUUGGGGAUGGACUCGCGGCUUAUCAGCUUGUUGGUGGGGUAGUGGCUUACCAAGGCUUUGACGGGUAGCCGGCCUGAGAGGGUGACCGGCCACAUGGGGACUGCGAUACGGCCCAGACGCCUACGGGAGGCAGCAGUGGGGAAUAUGGCACAAUGGGCGGAAGCCUGAUGUAGCAACGCCGCGUGCGGGAUGACGUCCUUCGGGUGGUAAACAGCUGUCGCCUGUGACGAAGCGGGAGUGACGGUAAUGGGUAAAGAAGCACCGGCUAACUACGUG
rnacentral:rRNA from 1 species